rnacentral:lncRNA from 1 species
GGGUAUGAAAAAUCUUUUGAGUGACUUAAACUACCCGGAAGCCCCUGAGGUGGAACCCGUCUUUAUUUUCAAAUUCAGCUUCUACAGAAUAACCUGCUGCUUCAAAGGGGGUGAGAGCUGUAGGAACCUUGAUCUGCAGAAGGAGCCGGUAGCUGAUUUUUUCCUAAACACCAUAACUGAACUAAAUAACUGAACCCUAAACUAAGGGUUUAGGUUGAUCAUCUCAGCUCAAUUUCCAGUACUUCUGGGUUUUUUAAACUGUGGCAAUGCUUCGAAUUGUUUAAAGUCAGGGAGGGGAAUGAUGAUGGAGAUUUGAAAUAUAUCCUGCUUGAAAUGGUGUUUAUUUGUGAGGUUUAGUGCCCAGGUUGUUUCCGGAUCUCAGCUGUUCCUUGCUUGUGUAUCACGUAGCCUCCUGUCACCCCGGAGGAGGUGGUUAAAAUGUAGAACUCGAGUCCUGGCUGGGUUUUUUGCCCUCCCUACUCCUGUAAUCCUGAGCCCUACCUUUUAUCUUUGACACCUGAACUUGCAUGCCACGCUCUCUCUGUGCAAAGCACUCCUUCCUGGGAUUCAAACCCGUUCCCAGUGGCUGUUUCAGGUUUCCUGGGUAAGAUCACAUCAGCCCUAAUGCAGUUCCCCAGCUGGGGCACUCACAGGGCUUCACCUCCAAAAUCAUCGCACCAGGGGGCUUUGAAGCAUAUCCGAGUUUGAAUGCAGCCCAACUGGGGUACCUCAGUGUGGGUUUAGGGGGCUUUCCCACUUGGUUCCCCCUGUUAACCGGCACAGCUCCAGUAUGGUUGCCUGGUCUCUGGGGCUGGCACCGAUCUCUGAUUUCCCCUGGAGCUUCAACCCCUGCCCAGGACAGCAGCACUGCACUUGCUGAAACACUCCGGAUGCUUUGGGCUUCAGCUGACCUGACACACUUGUAGCUGAACAGAUGCUCCUCAUGAUCAACAGCAGCGCUUUGUCCCUCUCCAGCAGCCCCUGAAAGCUUGACCCUCUCUGCUCCGAAGCCAUCCGAGAAGUUGUACAUAGCCCAGAUUCUCCAGCUUGUCCCAACAGCAGGUUAAUGUGUCUCCAUCCUAUGCACGCGAUGACCGAAGCUCCAAAAUGCUGCUUUGCAAGAUUGCAAUAUCAAAGCUUCCCAUAAAAUCCACAGCUUCUUAUUCCCAGCAUUCCCAGGGAGCUGAAUCUCCCGGUUUAUCCCACUGCAAGCGCGUUGCACAGUGUGCUUUGCUCCGAGAGCUUUGCUGUCCUCUCCAGGCUAUGUCAGGGCCGGCGAGCGCUCGGCUGCGUCUGGUGAACGUGGACAUCGGCCUGAUUGCCGCUGACAGCAGAUUCCCCUGAGUUUGUGCUGUUCCUUCUUUCUUCAUCCCUUCGUGGUGCUCGUCAUUCAGUGAAAUAUCCCAAAUCAGAGAUGCGGCCGUGUUGCAUGGAAGAAGCUCUCUCAGGCCGACGCAAGCUGCCCUCACGCUGGGUCGGUAGCACUUGUUGGUUUAAAGUGUAAAAAAUCCAACAGCAGCAAAAAGCCACGUUUUAUUGUACAUUGAUCUGUGCUCCUGAGUGCUCUGCCCUUCCUUGGAGCUUAGACCUGAGUUCUGCUGCGGAAGGUUUAGGUACAAGCUGGACCUAGGGGGGGCAGUGAGCUCAGGGCUGCAGCGGGUGGCUCCAGCGAAAAUCCAACAGUGCUGCCGAGUCAUUCUGGCAAGGGGAGGGAAAACCCUUUGGAAAGGGCUGGGAAGACCAUAAGAAGAGCUGGGCAAGAAGGAGUAAUGCCCACCCUUCCAGGGCGGCAAUGCUGCAGCUCCGGAGGGGCUGAGGACCCCAAAAAAGACAGCAGCAGGGACUGGGCAGCCCUGGCGGCACUGAGAAACCAGAGUGCAGAGUGGGAGUCAUCCUGAGGUUCAUCUUGAGCAGCAGAAUGUCAAAUUGAAUGUGAAACUUAACUCCUGUCCCAAUGUACCACUUCCAUAACUGGAUUGGGAGUUGUUUUCGCCCGAGGCAUUUUUUGCCUGUCAUGAAGGGCUGGUGGGUCCCUGUGCUGGGGGACUCAGUGCACGCACCAACGCUGCCGCCGCUUCCAGUGCUUUCCCUUGAUGAACUCGUGGUCCUGUUGCAAUGCCAUCCUCUUCCGAGCAGGAGAGGAAGAAGCUUUCGUGUCCAUCAGACCUGCAGGUAGCGGGUGCACAUGGCUGUUAGCAUGAGGUAGCGCCUGGCCAUAGCUGACAACUCGCCCGCAGCUCUUGGUAGACUCGUCCAUGGUAGUCCAGUGUCGGUUUUGUAUCAUUUAAUUUUUAGCACUUUAACUGUGAGUGUACAAACUGAUUAUAAUGUAGUAGGUGUACAUUUUCAUUUGGGUCCUUUGCAAGUUUUUAAUAAAACGAUGGAAAAA